rnacentral:piRNA from 1 species
UGAAGCUUAGAAAUGAGGUCGUGGUC